rnacentral:rRNA from 1 species
GGACGAACGCUGGCGGCGUGCUUAACACAUGCAAGUCGAACGGGAGUAUUGAAGAAGCUUGCUUUAGAGAUACUUUAGUGGCGGACGGGUGAGUAACGCGUGAGGAGCUGUCCUAUGCAGGGGGACAACAGCUGGAAACGGCUGCUAAUACCCCAUAAGCCGAGAGGUAAAAGGAUCAAUCCGGCAGAGGAGGUACUCGCGUCCUAUCAGCUAGUAGGUGAGGUAACGGCUCACCUAGGCGAAGACGGGUAGCCGGCCUGAGAGGGGGAACGGCCACACUGGAACUGAGAUACGGUCCAGACUCCUACGGGAGGCAGCAGUGGGGAAUAUUGGGCAAUGGGGGAAACCCUGACCCAGCGACGCCGCGUGUGCGAAGAAGGCCUUCGGGUUGUAAAGCACUUUUUGAGAGGAUGAGGAAGGACGGUACUCUCAGAAUAAGUCUCGGCUAACUACGUGCCAGCAGCCGCGGUAACACGUAGGAGGCAAACGUUAUCCGGAUUUACUGGGCGUAAAGCGCGUGUAGGUGGUUUGGUAAGUAGGGCGUGAAAGCUCCUGGCUCAACUGGGAGAGGACGUUCUAAACUGCCAAGCUUGAGGAUGGUAGAGGGAGGUGGAAUUCCGGGUGUAGCGGUGGAAUGCGCAGAUAUCCGGAGGAACACCAGUGGCGAAGGCGGCCUCCUGGACCACUCCUGACACUCAGACGCGAAAGCUAGGGUAGCAAACGGGAUUAGAGACCCCGGUAGUCCUAGCCCUAAACGAUGUAGACUUGGCGUCGGUGGUUUAAUCGCCAUCGGUGUCGUAGCUAACGCGAUAAGUCUACCGCCUGGGGACUACGGCCGCAAGGUUAAAACUCAAAGGAAUUGACGGGUCCCCGCACAAGCAGCGGAGCGUGUGGUUUAAUUCGAUGCUACACGAAGAACCUUACCUGGGUUUGACAUAGAGGUAGUAGGGAAGCGAAAGCGGACCGACCCUUCGGGGAGCCUCUACAGGUGUUGCAUGGCUGUCGUCAGCUCGUGUCGUGAGAUGUUCGGUUAAGUCCGCUAACGAGCGCAACCCUCGCUGUGUGUUACAAGUGUCACACGGUACUGCCGAUAUUAAGUCGGAGGAAGGUGGGGAUGACGUCAAGUCAGCAUGACCUUUAUAUCCAGGGCUACACACACGCUACAAUGGCCAGUACAAUGGGUUGCCAAGCCGCGAGGCGGAGCCAAUCCUAAAAAGCUGGCCUCAGUUCAGAUUGCAGUCUGCAACUCGACUGCAUGAAGUUGGAGUUGCUAGUAACCGCAGGUCAGCAAUACUGCGGUGAAUACGUUCCCGGGGAU